rnacentral:lncRNA from 1 species
UAGGUCUGAGUCAGUUUGCUGUACAGCAGAAAUUGCCAGAACACUGUAAAUCAAUGACAAUUUAAAAAAAAAAACUUAAAAAAGAUGGCAUGAGUAGUGCCUCCAGUGGAAACUGAUUUCAUCAUCAGCUGCUCAUCCCUUUUCUGACUGGCCAAUCCCCAGGUAUCAACCUUACUUUCAGAAGGAGUCAGUGCCCCCUCCGGCCCUGGUUCCCUGAUCCCUGCCUCAAACCCUUGCUCCAUUCUGGGAACUAGGGCCAAAUUUUGAAAAGGAACAGGUCUCAUGGAAUAUGUCUUUUUCAGGGGUGAACCUGAUUUGCCCACGGAGGCGGUACCUCAUUCGUGUGACGUGUCCCCCAAUUAAACCCGUGAUCCCAGAAACCUACACCACAACUUUUCCCAUGGACGCUAAGUUCCCUCUGGAGAUGGAGUUCACAGGCUCUGUUUCCCUCGAAGACCCCCAGAAAUAGAGCUCACCUGCUGUGAACUCUGGUCCCCGAAAACCAGAGACACUCCCCUUGACGUUCUUUGCACCCCAACUCCUUCUAAGCGACCAUGACCUUUCUCAUCUCAAAUAUGAAUCAUGCUACGAGGGGAAAAUGGAGAACUGCCAUGCUACUUCUUCAUUUCAUUGUGUCUAGUGUGGGAGACGAGCUGAGAGUGUUUUAUGCUUAAGAGGAGACAUCCAUCACGGCGAAACGCCAGAAAUGGGACACUCCAGUCCAAAAGUACACAUGGCCCAAUGGGUAAAGAAUGGGACAAUUCCAAGCAGAGAGAUUGUAUUCCUAAGCCUGCAAGUUUUAGUAGGGGUUCCGUUUCCUUACACGUAUCAAUGGCAGCAUUCUUAGGAGAUGGUGGAGAAUGGGGGCCGUUAAGUGAUCUUCCAGAUCUGCCCCAAGUGCCACGGGAAGCUGUUCACACACUGCUAGCCCGGCACCCUCGGGGGCCUGCCUACAGCGUGGUGUGUCUGGUAUCGUCUUACAUAAGGAAGGGGAGUCAUAAGAUGUGUGUUCUGUCUUUGGAUUCAGGAGCCAUAAAUCUGGAGCAAGUUCAAAAUGCUCAAGUGGAGGUUUCAUGA